AUUGAACGCUGGCGGCAGGCCUAACACAUGCAAGUCGAGCGGAUGAAGGGAGCUUGCUCCUGGAUUCAGCGGCGGACGGGUGAGUAAUGCCUAGGAAUCUGCCUGGUAGUGGGGGAUAACGUCCGGAAACGGGCGCUAAUACCGCAUACGUCCUGAGGGAGAAAGUGGGGGAUCUUCGGACCUCACGCUAUCAGAUGAGCCUAGGUCGGAUUAGCUAGUUGGUGGGGUAAAGGCCUACCAAGGCGACGAUCCGUAACUGGUCUGAGAGGAUGAUCAGUCACACUGGAACUGAGACACGGUCCAGACUCCUACGGGAGGCAGCAGUGGGGAAUAUUGGACAAUGGGCGAAAGCCUGAUCCAGCCAUGCCGCGUGUGUGAAGAAGGUCUUCGGAUUGUAAAGCACUUUAAGUUGGGAGGAAGGGCAGUAGGUUAAUACCUUGCUGUUCUGACGUUACCAACAGAAUAAGCACCGGCUAACUUCGUG
rnacentral:rRNA from 1 species